AGACUCGAUCAUGAUCCAUCUAGUGAGAAUCGACCUGGCACCGGAACGAUCCGAGGAGAGACAACGAACGGCUGGGAACGAACGAGGAAACGCGUCUCGAAUUGGCCUCCAGACGUGGGAGCGGAAUGUGUGGUUAUGAGGGUGUAGCGGAAUUGGCUAGGGAGAUUUUGCGUAGUAAAGACGUAAAUCCAUCCCAUUCAGCAUAUCAAAACAACGAUCCACGCAAAAUACGGGAAAAGACGUCAAGUAAAAACGUCAACAGAGGAAACAAGGCGACGUGACAAAUGGAUGAUCAAUAACAGGCAAAUUACGUGUACGGAUCAUUGUUGACCGAAUGAAGCACCGCGUGACAACGAGAGCAACGCGGACGAUAAUCGAUGAGCGGCGUUGCAUUCACCUUGCAGAAUGGAAAGCCUUCGAAUCGGGGACGCGAUAAAUCACCGAUGUCUAGCUGUCUUAAAGCAUCGUUCUUAGGUAAAGUAUCGUAUCCUAUGUGUCUUGAGGAUGGAGUUGGACGUUACGUCUAUAGUUACAUACCUUGAUUCUUUGAGAAUUUUCGAUAUAUUGAUAAUUUCGUUCAGAACUUUCAUUUUACUUUUUGUGGAAUUGUUUUUGACGCAUGUUUCGUUAUAUAGAUAUAUCCGUUAUAAUGCUAAAACGUAUCAAUAUUUUUAAUGUUCUAUAAUAAAAUUUGUCUUUUCAUUUAAAAAGAAAUAUUAGAAAUAAAAUUGGAAUGAAAUAAAUUGAAAUGAAUUAUAAUUAUUAUAAAUUAUUAUAAAUAAAAUCUUUGAUUAGAGGAAUCAAAAUUUAUAUAUCGGUAUUUUUAACUUUUUAUAAUACGAUUUUAUCUAAGAAAAAAUAUUAUAAUCUUGGAACAAAUUGAAAUGAAAAAUAUAAAUUAUAACUUAUUAUAAAUAAAUUCUUUGAUUAUAAAGGAAUGAUAGAACAAUCAGUAUUUUUUAAUGGAAAUUUUUUAAACGUUAAAUUUUAAUGGAAAAAUUAAAUAAAACUAAAAAUUCAAGAUAUAUAUAUAUGUAUACGAUUUUAAAAUAUUGUGGCGUUAUGGAAAAUUGAAAAAUUUUGAAUAUUUUUAUGCAUAUAUUUUUUAUAUUCUCGAUUGGACGACUUUAAUAUAAAAAUAAAAAUUGUUUUAUAUUUAAUUUAUAAUCAAUCAAAAUCGCAUAUUCAACUUAAAUGUUUAUAAGAUUUUAAUAUGUUUAUAAGAUUUCCAUUUGACAUCAAUAUGUAUAAAAGUAUAUAUAUAAAUAUAUGUAUUAAUAUUAUAAAACUUUUUUACAUAAAAAUCUUCAAGGUAAUUAUAGAAAAUUUAAAGUGAGACUUUAAUUUCAUGAAAAUUAAAAAAAAAAAACAAUAAACAAUAUAAAUUUUGUAUAAAAAAUAAAAUAAUUGAUAAAAAAAAUAAA